ensembl:lncRNA
UCUGUAUGGACAGGAAACUGGGGAAGAUGUGCAGGGAUGGCUCCUAAGGUGGCCCCCAGGUGAAGGGAGCAUGACCCCCAGUCAGCCCGAAUGUGUUGAUGUGACUCACUAAGAGAGUCUGGAGUCAACGAUUUAGCUUGAUAGAUGGGAAAGAACUCAAACACCUUGUUUAGGUGACUCAUACAUGGGUGGUAAAGGUUCUGCCUCCUAGGGAAGUAAGGAGCUUUGAAGAGAAAGCAAGAAUCACCUGAGAGAAAAAAAAAGAAAGUCUCAUCACUUUGAGCAGCUUGUCAGAAGUCCCACAUUAAGGAUACCACCAGUGAGGGCAAAGAAGAAAGUGAGAAGGUGCUGUGAUGUGAGCAGCUUUCUUCCUCUCAGGCCCUUCCACCAUGGUACUGACCACGCAAAGACUGGAAUUUCUGAAACAAUUAGCCUAGAUCAGUACAAUGUCAUGAAAAUCCUCUUUUACAACUUCGGGAGGAGGUUGAAAGUAGGUCAUCAGGUGAUUCGGCUACCAAUGAUGACUUGGAUCCUGUAAGCCAAAGAAGAUGUGACAGUGAGAUGGAGCAAGAUGUGCCACAUCGAGAAGUACAGAAUGAAGACCCCUGAUUCAGAUGAGGAAGAAAACAGUAAUGUAAAUGAAUAUUUGACUAGUCAAAAUGUUACAAAAUGAUCAUGUAUACGUGAGUGAUGCAACAUUAGAACUGGGUUGAAAAAUGUUAUUAGGUUCCUGCCAGGGUGAAACCUGUUGACAGAAUGCCAACACCAUGAUUCAGUGCUGACAUCCACUGUGAUCCAAUGUCUGUAAUGGAUGAUAUGCUACAAGAUGUUUUGAAGUAGACUAAUAAUGAAAUACAAGUAAAACAUUCUUUUUACAUCAGUAGUAAUGCCCAAAAAUAUAUUUAUCAUGACAUCUCACUGUCUGAACUAAAAGUCUUCAUAGCAGGACUUUAUUAUUCUGAUCAUUAGAAUCCAAAGGAUUUAUGGAGAAGUGACAGAUGUGGUAUUGAGAUUUUUAGAACAAUGAUAACACUUAAGAGACUUGGUUUCCUUCAAAAUUGUCUAUGUUUUGACAACAAAAAGACCUGCCAAGAAAGAAAAAAUUCUGACAACUUAGCGUCGAGACAUUUGCCCUUGAGUGGUUGUCUUGAUGGUACAUCCCAGUUGGUUGAAUUUUCCAGCAACCCUCUGUGGUUUCCUGUCCUUUAGGCUCUCUUCUAGAUAGGGAAUUUGUCUCUGCUCACACACUCUCAGGUCCUGUUCAGUCUUACUGAAUGCUGUGGCUCCUUACUGGC